rnacentral:lncRNA from 1 species
GGCUUUUUGAUGGAUGACGGUCCACUCGCCGUUGGCUUGGACUUUCUUAAACUUUCAGGCACGAAGCAUCUUCCUGACCUAGUCAAACCCCCUACCUCAUCUACAUCUUCCACAACUUCUUUCCCGUGAUAGGUCAUCACAGUCCGCCCAUAAUUCCAGGGAAUCCUUUUCGUAUCAACUAUUGGAGGUUGGGUCACCGGUUUGAGGACAAUAGGUGCUGCCAGUGGUCCUUUCACCGUUAAGAUGGGCUGACUCAGAGCUCCCAC